AGCACAGUGACUGUAACCUGAGAAGUACACGGAGACAGGCGAAGCUGGGCCACCUGCACCAGCAACAGUGCUGCCUCACACGAGACUCCAGCCCGGAAGAGCGCGUGUUCCUGUAUACGAGUUGCUGCCUCGGGUCAACUGCUCUGGUGGAGGCUGUGGUUUGUCCCACUGACUCCCUUUUGUGCUAG
rnacentral:lncRNA from 1 species